CGAAAGCCUGACGGAGCAACGCCGCGUGAGGGAUGAAGGCCUCUGGGCUGUAAACCUCUUUUCUCAAGGAAGAAGAACUGACGGUACUUGAGGAAUAAGCCACGGCUAAUUCCGUGCCAGCAGCCGCGGUAAUACGGGAGUGGCAAGCGUUAUCCGGAAUUAUUGGGCGUAAAGCGUCCGCAGGCGGCCGCACAAGUCUGUCGUUAAAGCGUGGAGCUUAACUCCAUUUGAGCGAUGGAAACUGUAAGGCUUGAGUGUGGUAGGGGCAGAGGGAAUUCCCGGUGUAGCGGUGAAAUGCGUAGAUAUCGGGAAGAACACCAGUGGCGAAGGCGCUCUGCUGGGCCAUAACUGACGCUCAUGGACGAAAGCCAGGGGAGCG
rnacentral:rRNA from 1 species